rnacentral:rRNA from 1 species
GACGAACGCUGGCGGCGUGCUUAACACAUGCAAGUCGAACGGAAAGGCCCUGCUUUUGUGGGGUGCUCGAGUGGCGAACGGGUGAGUAACACGUGAGUAACCUGCCCUUGACUUUGGGAUAACUUCAGGAAACUGGGGCUAAUACCGGAUAGGAGCUCCUGCUGCAUGGUGGGGGUUGGAAAGUUUCGGCGGUUGGGGAUGGACUCGCGGCUUAUCAGCUUGUUGGUGGGGUAGUGGCUUACCAAGGCUUGGACGGGUAGCCGGCCUGAGAGGGUGACCGGCCACAUUGGGCUAGAGAUACGGCCCGGACGCCUUCGGGAGGCAGCAGUGGGGAAUAUUGCACAAAGGGCGGAAGCCGGAGGCAGCAACGCCGCGUGCGGGAAGACGGCCUUCGGGUGGUAAACCGCUUUCGCCUGUGACGAAGCGUGAGUGACGGUAAUGGGGAAAGAAGCACCGGCGAACUACGU